UGUUUCGCUUUGCAGUGGAGCCGAGGAGCGCUCUUGUAAUGUUGGAGGAGCAGUCGUACUGAGAUUGGUCAGAUGAGAGAUCGGCCAACCUGUGGCAGAGACCAAGGAAGGAACAGCCACCCGGAGCCCAUCCCUAGGGAUGGAAGCCGGACAAUGAUCUGCAGAUACCACGGAGAAAGAAGUGAAGGGUAAGAGCCCACCCCCGUUGUGAGAUGGAAAGCACCAAGAGCCGGG